GUUUCUAAAACAAUUAGAUUCUCGAAUUAAUAUUAAUGUUGCUUCAAACGCAGUAAUAAAUCCAAAUAUUAUACAAAAUACGACAAACAUAAUUCCUACAAAACCUUUUAAUAAAUAUAGAAAAUUGUUAGAGUUUGAUGAUAGCUUAACAGCAAAUAUAGUCGCAUCAAAACAAUUGGAAAUGUUCUUCUAUUUAUUAGGAGGGAAUACUGCCCAAGUUCAAAGUAAAAAUGGAUUGGAGAAACUAUUUACCAAUAAACUGGGAUGUAAAUGAUCUUGGUUUGGCCGCAAGGGAAAUUAUCAAUUGUGCUCAUUACGUACAAUGGCAAUUUUAAGAGAUAGAAAUUUUCAAGAUCAUGUAUCCUCAUGGUUUAAAUAUGCAAAAAUUAGAUAUUUGAGAGAAAAAGCAGGCCGAGAUGAAAAAGAGAACACCGAAC